AUAUUCAUGAUUGUGCUCUUCUUAAUUGGAUUCUUGGCACAAAUAAUCAAUGAAUGGUACGCAUUGUACAUACAGACAAAGCAACUGGACCCUGCUGAGAAGUCCUUUUCGAUCGGUCUGAAAACUGCAUCAAUUGGAUUUCUCUUGUCUUUCAUCCCAGAGAAAAUGAGUAGAAACCUGGAAUGCAAGCUGCCAGGGAAUCCACAGCAAGAUAGAGAAACCGGAGGGG
rnacentral:misc_RNA from 1 species